UACGUAGGGUGCGAGCGUUGCCCGGAUUUAUUAGGCGUAAAGGGCGCGUAGGCAGUCACGCACGUCCGUUGUGAAAUCGCUCGGCUCAACUGGGCGGGGUCAGCGGAUACGGCGUGGCUGGAGCAAGCUAGGGGGCAAUGGAAUUCCCGGUGUAGUGGUGGAAUGCGUAGAUAUCGGGAGGAACACCAGUGGCGAAGGCGGUUGCCUGGAGCUUUGCUGACGCUGAUGCGCGAAAGCGUGGGGAGCGAGCCGG
rnacentral:rRNA from 1 species